rnacentral:rRNA from 1 species
UACGUAGGGUGCAAGCGUUGUCCGGAAUUAUUGGGCGUAAAGAGCUCGUAGGCGGUCUGUUGCGUCGGCUGUGAAAACCCGGGGCUCAACUCCGGGCCUGCAGCCGAUACGGGCAGACUAGAGUUCGGCAGGGGAGACUGGAAUUCCUGAUGUAGCGGUGAAAUGCGCAGAUAUCAGGAGGAACACCGGUGGCGAAGGCGGGUCUCUGGGCCGAUACUGACGCUGAGGAGCGAAAGCGUGGGGAGCGAACAGG